rnacentral:rRNA from 1 species
GGUAGUCCACGCCGUAAACGAUGAUCACUCGCUGUUGGCGAUAUAAUGCCAGCGGCCAAGCGAAAGCAUUAAGUGAUCCACCUGGGGAGUACGUUCGCAAGAAUGAAACUCAAAGGAAUUGACGGGGGCCCGCACAAGCGGUGGAGCAUGUGGUUUAAUUCGAUGAUACGCGAGGAACCUUACCUGGGCUUAAAUGUAGUGUGACAGACUUGGAAACAGGUUUUUCUUCGGACACAUUACAAGGUGCUGCAUGGUUGUCGUCAGCUCGUGCCGUGAGGUGUCGGGUUAAGUCCCAUAACGAGCGCAACCCCUAUCUUUAGUUGCCAGCGGUUCGGCCGGGGACUCUAAAGAAACUGCCCGCGCAAGCGGAGAGGAAGGUGGGGAUGACGUCAAAUCAUCACGGCCCUUACGUCCAGGGCUACACACGUGCUACAAUGGUGUUGACAGAGGGCAGCUACCCUGCGAAGGGGAGCGAAUCCUUUAAACAACAUCUCAGUUCGGAUCGCAGUCUGCAACUCGACUGCGUGAAGCUGGAAUCGCUAGUAAUCGCAUAUCAGCCAUGAUGCGGUGAAUACGUUCCCGGGCCUUGUACACACCGCCCGUCAAGCCAUGGGAGCCGGGGGUGCCUGAAGUCGGUAACCGCAAGGAGCUGCCUAGGGUAAAACUGGUGACUGGGGCUAAGUCGUAACAAGGUACCCGU